rnacentral:rRNA from 1 species
GUGAGGAAUAUUGAGCAAUGGGCGAAAGCCUGACUCAGCAACGCCGCGUGGGCGAUGAAGGCCUUCGGGUCGUAAAGCCCUUUUCUGAGGGACGAGAAAGGACGGUACCUCAGGAAUAAGUCACGGCUAACUACGUGCCAGCAGCCGCGGUAAUACGUAGGUGGCCAGCGUUAUCCGGAAUCACUGGGCGUAAAGCGCGUGUAGGUGGUUCCGUAAGUCGGACGUGAAAUCUCCUGGCUUAACUGGGAGGGGCCGUUCGAUACUGCGGAUCUUGAGGUCGGGAGAGGGACGUGGAAUUCCCGGUGUAGUGGUGGAAUGCGUAGAUAUCGGGAGGAACACCAGUGGCGAAGGCGGCGUCCUGGCCCGCACCUGACACUCAGACGCGAAAGCGUGGGGAGCGAACGGGAUUAGAUACCCGUGUAGUCC